rnacentral:tRNA from 1 species
GGGGUAUGGCGGAAUUGGUAGACGCUACGGACUU